CCCGCUGAACUUAAGCAUAUCAAUAAGCGGAGGAAAAGAAACUAACAAGGAUUCCCCUAGUAACUGCGAGUGAAGCGGGAAAAGCUCAAAUUUAAAAUCUGGCGGUCCUUGUGGCCGUCCGAGUUGUAAUUUAGAGAAGUGUUAUCCGCGCUGGACCGUAUACAAGUCUCCUGGAAUGGAGCGUCAUAGAGGGUGAGAAUCCCGUCUUUGAUACGGACUGCCAGGGCAUUGUGAUGCGCUCUCAAAGAGUCGAGUUGUUUGGGAAUGCAGCUCAAAAUGGGUGGUAAAUUCCAUCUAAAGCUAAAUAUUGAGGAGAGACCGAUAGCGAACAAGUACCGUGAGGGAAAGAUGAAAAGAACUUUGGAAAGAGAGUUAAACAGUACGUGAAAUUGCUGAAAGGGAAACGCUUGAAGUCAGUCGCGUCGUUCAGGACUCAUGCUUGCUUUGCUUGGUGUACUUCCUGUUCGACGGGUCAGCAUCAAUUUUGGUCGGUGGAUAAAGGCUUAGAGAAUGUGGCAUCCUCGGAUGUGUUAUAGCUCUGGGUCGCAUACAUCGGCUGGGAAUGAGGAACUCAACACGCCGCAAGGCCGGGUACUUGUACCACGUACGUGUUUAGGAUGCUGGCAUAAUGGCUUUAAUCGACCCGUCUUGAAACACGG
rnacentral:rRNA from 1 species